rnacentral:lncRNA from 1 species
AUUAAACAAAAAAAAUCAUACCAUGAAGUUUGUAUGUAAUUUUAUUGAAAAGCUAAAUUUCAUUCAAAUAUGAUAUUUACAUAUUACAAAAAAUGCAGAUCUACCAAAAAAAAUUUACAACAUCCCCCUUUAAGGGAAGUCAAUCAGUAUCCCAAAAACCACAUGGAGGUAAGAAACCUCUAUUCAUAAAAAAAAACACAACUUCUACACAAGAAGACCUAGCGAAAACCCAAAGCAUGAGAUGAAAUCAGAAAAGCCACAACACAAGCCAAUAACAGAUUGUACAUCAAGGUCAAUGUUGUUGAUUUCUCACGCAAGUGCACGUAUUGCAAACAAAUAAUAUAAUGAUGAAGUAGAGCAUCGUUCUUAC